rnacentral:rRNA from 1 species
GACGAACGCUGGCGGCGUGCUUAACACAUGCAAGUCGAACGGAAAGGCCCUGCUUUUGUGGGGUGCUCGAGUGGCGAACGGGUGAGUAACACGUGAGUAACCUGCCCUUGACUUUGGGAUAACUUCAGGAAACUGGGGCUAAUACCGGAUAGGAGCUCCUGCUGCAUGGUGGGGGUUGGAAAGUUUCGGCGGUUGGGGAUGGACUCGCGGCUUAUCAGCUUGUUGGUUGAGUAGUUGCUUACCAAGGCUUUGACGGGUAGCCGGCCUGAGAGGGUGACCGGCGACAUUGGGACUGAGAUACGGCCCAGACUCGUACGGGAGGCAGCAGUGGGGAAUAUUGCACAAUGGGCGGAAGCCUGAUGCGGCAACGCCGCGUGCGGGAUGACGGCCUUCGGGUUGUAAACCGCUUUCGCCUGUGACGAAGCGUGAGUGACGGUAAUGGGUAAAGAAGCACCGGCUAACUACGUG